UUUUUUCCUUAAUAAGAAUAUUGUUAAUCUUUUUCUGCUUACCGAUCAAAGAACAGAGAUCUAUGAAGGCCCAGUACUUGUCCAAAACAGUGUAGGUUUCCUCUUAGUUCUAAAUACUCUGACUUAAAUGGUGAUAAAAACAACCUCUCAGAAUCGCAUUUUGACAAAAGCCCCAAUUUCCAGAGUUUAAUAAGUAUACACAGGUUGCAAGUAAACUGACAUAAAUUUUCUCUUAAUCCUCAGUUUUCCGACGCUUUAAAUAAAACUUAUUAAGUGCAAAACCACAACCGCCAGCAGGCAUGUCAGCUAGGAAGCUUCCUGUUGCCACUGCCUGCCUUCCCUCACUAUCUUUGACCCAGUGGUUUUCUGAUCGCCUUGUCUAGGAAGGGUGAGGUGGUUUUGCUAAUGCACUGAGCAAAGACUUUAUUGAUCACGAAUUGUGAUUGCUCAACUCAGCGUCAUGAAUCUUUCAGUGAAUAGGAUUGCCUCCAAGAUGCUUCCUUUUUCAGAAUUGAUGACUUCCUCUUUUUCUCUCUUUUUUUUUUUUGUGAUUAUUUGAAGGAAGGGUGUGAAGGGCAACAUCAAGAAGACUAGUCACAUAUCACUGAUGCCACAGUUAAUUGUGUCUUAAUGGAAGAGUAGAAAUUCCCUAGUCAGAGAAGGGGAGGGAGAGGCAUCCCCGGUCACACAAAUGCGGCUCAAGGACAGAGCAGUGUGACAGAGCAGCGUGUUUGGCAGACACCAUUUCAGUGCAGGUUAAAAGCAAAACGUGCAGGUGGUGAGAAUCUUCUUGGAGGAAGAAAUGUUCAAGGCUAGCUGACUGCAGAUCCGGGAAAGCUGGACGUGUUUAUAUCCGGGUUCUGCGGUUAGUGGCGAAGCUUGGACGGAGUUCGCCAGAACAGUGAUGUGACUGUUCUAUGAUUCGAGACAGGUGGUGAUUGUGUGCAAGACGGAUAAACAGGAAACAGAGAUGUCGGAGUGACCAACAGCUAAUCCCUGCAGACUGCAUUUACCCAGCUGACUUUUGGUUGUGUUCAGCCAAUAUAAGGCACUUGCAGGAGACUGAAGGAUGGGAGAAAGAUGCCAAGGUUCAUCUCUAUGACGAAGAGACAAAGAAAUCAAGGAAUCAUUGAGCAAGAUUGACCAACAUGGCCCCACCAGCGUGAUUGCUCGGCUGACUGGAAUAGGAUGACCUUGGAAGCCAUAUUUUUAAGUUGGCAGAAUUCUGCAGCCUGGAUUUCGAAGCAACUAGGUGGAGUAGAGCUGCUUUCCCAAACUACUCAUUACUGUUACUCGGAAGAAAUACACUUUCAGUAUUUUUGAGUAAUACAUUUUGGACCUAACUUUCAUACCAGUAAUGGAUCUCUCUUAACUCAUACCAAAGAGAGGGCUCAUGAGUUGAGAAAUCAUCCCGGAAGAUUUCUAUACACUCCAACGCUGUGCAGAGAGAGACAGGAAUCACAGAACUAGAAAGAAGUAACAAUCAUAAAAUUUCCUUGAAUCUACCUAUUUAAUCUCAAAUACUUAUUUUUCCAUAUCUAUACAAUGACUUUGUACGCCAACGUCCCUUACUCUAAUCAUGGUUAUAGCUGAAAUCUUGAUAUUAUCCAUGGCUUAGAUUCAUUUUGCUGAGUUCACACUUAAUCACACAUUGAGAGGAUCGAGUUUAGUUGUUUUCCUUUUCUCCUUUAGGACAUACUUUGCAAAGACACAACUCGUUGUCAAAAUAUAUUGUUCCAAACUAUUGAGUAUAUGUUUUUGUACAUAUAUUUUAACAAUAGAAAUUCCAAAUUAAUUCAGCACAGCCAUUGUCCCGAAAGAGGUUACUGUCUAACUGAGCAAAAGUGACACAGAGCAUUACAAUGAUUAAACAGCAAUAAAAAGCUUUUAAAAUGCUAAACACAAAUAUUUUCUUCAUGUAUUCAGUUAAAAAAAGCUUCCAAAAGUAUGUAUUCUAUACCCUACUGUAUUCAGAUAAAUACUCUUUUAGGUUAGUAUAUGACUAUAUAUAUAUAUAUAUAUAUAUAUAUAUAUAUAUGCAUCAAAAAUGUCUGGAGAAUGAGUCUCACAAAUAUUAAUAGCGAUUAUAUCAUUGUAAUGGGAUUACAAGUAAUAUUUAAUAGUUUGUUUAUUUAUAUUCUCUAUUUUUCUUCUUUAACAAAUUCAUAUUAUGUGCCUAAUAAAGAAAAUUCUAGUGGAAAAAUAUGUGCAAAGAGGAGAAUUCUGUUCAUUGCCUAUGAGUUAAUUCUAAAAUAUUUUAAAAAGAGAGGUCAAGGAAAAUGUCAAGUGGCAAGCUGUGUUUAUUUUGCAAUAGAGAGGGGUAAAGGAGGUAAGAAGGAAAUUAAUGGAACCACCACACCUAAGAACUCCUCAAAUAUUUGAAAAAGGACUACAACCUGUGGGAAGUUAUCACAUUCAUGAAUACAUAUUAAGAUUUUAUUACUGGGUUAACUUAAAAGACACUUUAUUCUUUUGGAGCUGAGUUUCUUUUUGCAAGUCAAAUGGAUCUUUUGUAUAUUACUCUGGCCCAGGAGAGGGCAUACCACCACACAUAAAGAAAUUUAACUUAACCUUUUAAAGAAAUAAUGCCUAUAGCACGGCCAAGUCCUUAGCAAAGGAAAUGGCAAUUCUUCCUCAAAACAUGUGUUGUCCUUUUCUCUCAGUAUUUCCAUUGCCAUUUGUAACCAUCUUCAAACACAAAUGCACUUUUCUGAAUAAACUGUUACUGUAAUAACUUUGGUGUCAUGAUUAUUCUUCCUAAAAGGUUUACAUUUAUUCUUAGACUAGAUCUUUUCCAUUUGGCAGUGGAUCCUCCCUAAGAGGAAAGUUUGCUCCUUCUUAUGAGGAAAACAAACAAAAAGAAAAAUACUGUAGAAGUGGACUGGUCCUAUACUUUUAAGUAGGCAAAGAAAUGCAUGCCAGAGUGGUUUAUCUAAAAUAAAGGAGAGAGAAUGAUGCUAUGAACGUGAAUAAUUAGUCUA